rnacentral:lncRNA from 1 species
AAAAAGUGUUAUUAUUUAUGGUAGGCAGAAUACUAAAAUUAGCCCCAUGAUCUCCACUGCUGGUGUUAGUCCUAUGAUUAUAUUAUGUUGCAUGGCAAACAGGAAUUUGGCAGUUGCAAUUAAGGUUAUCAAUCUGUUGACUGUAUUGUAGAGACCUUUUCCCAGUGGGCCUAACCUAACCACAUAAGCCCCAUAAAGCUGAGAAUUUUCUUCAAUUGGUAGCUGAAAAGAAAAUCAAAGAGAUUCAAAGUGUGAGAGGGAUUAUUUCAGGGAGACAUUGCUAGAAUGGAUUGGGCCACUCAGGCAAGAACUUGAGAAUGGCCUCUAAGAACUGAGAAAUGUACCCAGCCAACAGCCAGCAAGAAAACAGGGACCUCAGUCCUACAACUGCAAGGCACUCAGUUCUACCAAAAACCUGAAUGAGUUUGGAAGUGGAUUCUUCUACAGAGCCUCCAGCCAGCUCUCCUCUACUAGAGUUUGGAAGACUUUCAACCAAUCAGUCGUUCAGAAAAUAAUACUGGAUACCUACUAAGUUCAAGGCAUUGUUUGUGCUAUAUGAACACAGCAAUGAACAACAAUAAUAACAAUAAAUAAACAAAAACUCAUCUAUACUCAUGGAGUUUACAGUCAAGGGGCCAAGAGAGAAAAUUAAGAAAUAAAAUGAAUGAACUCCUCAAUCUGAACAGAUCAAUGGUGUUCAUCAACCAAUGUCACGAUUUGAGCAGCCAAUACCAGGUACGACCCUAGAAGCUUCUUUUGCCUUCUUCACACACUGGAAGGGCAGAGGGAACUUCUUUGCAAGUACCAGUGAGGAAGAAGGGGGGUUUUGUGCCUUCUGCAGCUAUUGGAAAUCUUCUUAUACUAUCUAAGGCAGUGCCUGCUUCAUCCACAUCAUGUCCCUAACUGCCACUUGGGAUGGCAUCUGCCAGCAGUUCUCUGAAACAGGUUCAACUAGUAAAAUCAGUUAAUUGCCAAGCACAGAUUUUCAUGACCCUGAUGCUUCCAUUAGAAAAAGGUCAAAACCCUGCCACUGAAAAGAGGUGUCAGAAAACACAGGGAGGUGGUUCUGGUGCAAUGAUUCCAGCAGCAGACAAGUCUUUUGUUCAACAAUUAUAGCUUACUUGUCCAUGUUAUGGAUUGGAUUGUGUUUGCCCAAUAUUUGUAUGUUGAAAUCCUAACCCCCAGCACCUCAGAAAGUGACCUAAUUUGGAUGGGGUUGUUGCAGAUGUAAUUAGUUCAGAUGAGGUCAUACCGGAGUAGGAUCAGCCCCAAUACAAUAUGACUGGCGUUCUUACAAGAAGACACAGACACAGGGAGAAUACCAGUGCAAAGGGGAAGGUAGAGAUCAAAGUGAUGCUUCUACAGGCCAAGGAAUGCCAAAGAGUGCCAGGAACCACCAGAAGCUAGGAGAGAGGCAUGGAAUGGAUUUCUCCCUUACAGCCUACAAAAGGAACGAGCCCUGCUGACACCUUAAUCUUGCACUUCCAGCUUCCAGGACUGUGAGACAAUAAAUUCAUGUUGUUUAAGCCACCCAGUCUGUGGUACUUUGUUAUGGG